UGCUGCCACUCCAGUGACUCAUUUUGCUGACAUGUAAGUUAAUGGGGGCAAAGAUGUGGAACUGUUCCCUCAAAGAGAAAAAAGAUUUGGGAGAGAGAAGCCCAUAUGACCCGUACUUCAUUUCUACAAACCCUGACUCCCACUUGCAAUGCUCACUCUACUGCUGAGAAAUAUGAAACUGCCUCUGGACUCUCUGAUGACAUAUAUGUAUUACACAGCCUCCCCAAGACCCCCAGUUCACAGGAAGGGUGGAAAAGAAGAAGCCUGAGGCUGAUAAAGCACGCACUGAAAGCUACUGAGAAAAUCCUUGCAUCAAGCUUUGCUUCUGGGACUUUGUAACUUCUCUCCACCAAGAAGCUGGAAAACUACUCCUCAGAAGAAAAUAGACUGCAUAAAACCAGAAGUGGCUUUAGUAUUUCCAGUUAGAACAGACUGAAUGAAUUGACUCGAAACACCACUGAGGCAGUGAACGAACAGAGGACCUGAGAAAAAAUAUGCAUCUCCCUGUCUUUAAGUUAAGGCUUUAGCUAGCCUAUUACAGCUGCUCUCCAGUGAUUUUCUAGUGCCACAGGCACUGGUCUGAUCUGAAACCAUCAAACAUCCAUCUGAUGUGAAGAAAAAGAGGAACAAAGAAAGUUCAGGUGAAUUCACAGCCAGCAGAAUGGAUCUACACCUGUUGUCAAAACAGAAACAUGAGCUUGUAAAGAUGUAAUU